GACGAACGCUGGCGGCGUGCUUAACACAUGCAAGUCGAACGGAAAGGCCCUGCUUUUGUGGGGUGCUCGAGUGGCGAACGGGUGAGUAACACGUGUGUAACCUGCCCUUGACUUUGGGAUAACGUCAGGAAACUGGGGCUAAUACCGGAUAGGAGCUCCUGCUGCAUGGUGGGGGUUGGAAAGUUUCGGCGGUUGGGGAUGGAAUCGCGGCUUAUCAGCUUGUUGGUGGGGUAGUGGCUUACCAAGGCUUUGACGGGUAGCCGGCCUGAGAGGGUGACCGGCCACACUGGGACUGAGAUACGGCACAGCCUACUACGGGAGGCAGCAGUGGGGAAUAUUGCACAAUGGGAGGAAGCCUGCUGCAGCAAAGCCGCGCGCGGGAUGACGGCCUUCGGGUUGUAAACCGCUUUCGCCUGUGACGAAGCGUGAGUGACGGUAAUGGGUAAAGAAGCACCGGCUAACUACGUG
rnacentral:rRNA from 1 species